rnacentral:rRNA from 1 species
UACGUAGGGGGCAAGCGUUAUCCGGAUUCAUUGGGCGUAAAGAGCGCGUAGGCGGCUUGCUAAGCGAGAUGUGAAAACAGGGGGCUCAACCCGCUGCCUGCAUCUCGAACUGGUAGGCUUGAGUCUGGUAGAGGAAAGUGGAAUUCCCAGUGUAGCGGUGAAAUGCGCAGAUAUUGGGAGGAACACCAGUGGCGAAGGCGGCUUUCUGGGCCACGACUGACGCUGAGGCGCGAAAGCUAGGGGAGCAAACAGG